UUGUCUUUGUGCGAGCUUCUGCAGGUCCCUUUCAGCCUUGAAGAUCCAGAUUACAAGGGGCUUGAGCUGGAUGUGAUGUCUCCAUGUGAGAAGCACGGCAUGGCAUCUGAGAGGCUUGUUGCCUUUGAAGGAACAGACACAGGCAGGAGGUUUUUAACAUGUGCACAGCCGGAAGGUAGCAAUUGUGGCUUUGUUGAAUGGGUUGAUCACCAGUGGCCCCCAACAGAGAAUGCAUUGUUGAAGCUAUGGGAAAUGGUUGAAGAUGCCAAAAGUGCUAGGGUGAAUGACAAUCUUGAAAGUUCUUUCACUAUCCACCAUCUGACAAAAGAGAAGAACAAGCUGGAGGCCAACUAUGACAAGCUAGUCCAAGAUGUGCAUGAGCUGAUGAACUUCCAGGAAGAUAAGGUGGUGGAUUUCAGACAUCUGCAGUCUGCCAUUACAUAUCAGCAGGAGGUAAGAAAA
rnacentral:rRNA from 1 species